rnacentral:rRNA from 1 species
UGGAGGAAAGUAGGGGAUCGAAAGACCUUGCGCUUUUGGAGCGGCCGAUGUCUGAUUAGCUAGUUGGUGGGGUAAGGGCCUACCAAGGCGACGAUCAGUAGUCGGUCUGAGAGGACGACCAGCCACACUGGGACUGAGACACGGCCCAGACUCCUACGGGAGGCAGCAGUGGGGAAUUUUGGACAAUGGGCGCAAGCCUGAUCCAGCAAUGCCGCGUGAGUGAAGAAGGCCUUCGGGUUGUAAAGCUCUUUCAGUUGAGAAGAAAAGAUUGUGACUAAUAAUUGCAAUUCAUGACGGUAUCAACAGAAGAAGCACCGGCUAACUACGUGCCAGCAGCCGCGGUAAUACGUAGGGUGCGAGCGUUAAUCGGAAUUACUGGGCGUAAAGGGUGCGCAGGCGGUUCUGUAAGUCAGAUGUGAAAUCCCCGGGCUUAACCUGGGAACUGCGUUUGAAACUACAAAGCUAGA